GAGAAAAAUAAUUCUGCAAUGAGAAAUUAUUCACACUAGAUAGAUAUCAUAUAAAGUUGCAAUGCUACAUGUUAUCGAGAAUGCUUGACAAGUGCCGUCCCUUCUGUCAAGCGCACUCUACAAGCAAGUAAUGCUGUUUUUUAACACACAAGAACCAAGAUAUAUCUCAUUGUCAAGAAUCAUAAAAUAUUACUUUUAGUAUGGAAUCAGUACAAAUUGUUCUCUGAGCUAGUUGCGGUAUUCACAGGUGAACUGCACAAAUGUAAUAAUAGAAGAAGCAAAAUUGAAUCAGAAAUUUGAGGAGACAUUACUCAUAUUCCAACAAAAAGAAAUGCAAGAAGGCGGCAAGUUUUUGACUUUAAAGAUAUCCAUCUCUCCUGUCUUGUUCUUCAGCUUCUUUAUUAGCAAUUUGAACAGAUUUGAACCACAAAAAUGCCUGCGGAGAUAGAAAACUGUAUAAACGAAAAUCCCAAGGAGAUAAAAUUUUCCAAUUCGACCACUGCAAAGAGAAAAAAAAAAUUACGUACAGAAGUGGGGAUGCCAGUAAAAGCAAAGAAUCCGAGCAAUGGAGCAUAGAAGAUGUUGUCGGAGUUCAAAAUUCCAAAAACAGGCUUUUGAUUCACAUACUCAAACACAGAACCUAUCUGCAUUCAUUCAACUCUAAUCAGUGAACCUAUUUAUGAUCUAUCGCCUUUCAAUUUUCAUGGUAGAUAGAGCGGAAAAUUAAGGAGAAGCUUACAGCAGCAAUUGCGGUAAUUGCUGAGGCAAGUAAGUAAACAAAGAAGGGAAUCUCGAAAUUCUGCUUCGCAGAGUUGGCGUUGGCGUUGCCAUUGGCUUCAUCCCGGGCCCAAGGAGGAAGCUCAUCGGAAUCUGGUCUAGCCCAAGAUGGGAUAGAUUCCUCAGAUUUGGUGGAGUUUGCAGAACCUUCAGUUGCAGCAACCACGAGCAACCUAUGAGAAAAUUUGCGGCUUCCACAAGUUAUCCCCGUGGUUGGUUGAUCCAGAUUUAGUAUCCUCGGUCUAACAUCUACCAUUAUGGUGGAAUAUAGAGCACGGAUUGAGUUUAAAUUGCACGAAAACAACAAGUUUGCAGCCAUUGUUUCCUUCUCUAACCCAAAGAGUGAAGACUGAAGACUGGAGCUAAUGCCUAAUGCUCAGCGCUGCCCAGCCGCACGUAAACUUAUCGCCUG
rnacentral:misc_RNA from 1 species